GAAAUGCGAUAAGUAAUGUGAAUUGCAGAAUUCAGUGAAUCAUCGAAUCUUUGAACGCAUCUUGCGCUCCUUGGUAUUCCGAGGAGCAUGCCUGUUUGAGUGUCAUUAAAUUCUCUCAAAACAUGCACUUGAGUGAUUGUGUGUUUUGGAUUGUUGGGAGUCUGCUGGUUUUGGGCCAGCUCUCCUUAAAAACAUUAGCUUUGGGAGGGAUGUGCUGAGUCACUUCUGCCAUUCCAUUGGUGUGAUAGAUUAACGUUUAUAUCUACACCAGGUUUGCAGGUGUCACGCAUUUUUAAUCUCUCUGCUCUCUAAUCGAGACCCCUUUGUCUCUUCUGAAAACUUGACCUCAAAUCAGGUAGGACUACCCGCUGAACUUAA
rnacentral:rRNA from 1 species